UGUUGUCUUCAUAUAUAUAUAUAUAUAUAUACUGCAUUUAUUUUAAACUUGCACUACAUGCAUCAUUACAAUUAUUGAACUGUGUUGCACAAGGUCAACUUGUCAAUGGUGUCCACGCGGCACGUCCUGAUUUCCGAGACUACUCAAGUCAGCAAAAACGUAACUGUUGGCUGAUGGCCUAUUUCAUUUUGAACACUUCUCAGCAAAUAUUUGAACAAAUUUAACAGAUUGAAAUCCAUACACUUAAAAAAAAAAAAGAGCUAGUAACGGAACCUUGUGGAACACUGUUGUUCACCAGGCAUUGACAGUCAAUUUGAUGUGACAAUAUAUGAUAAAUGUACAAAAGUUGAAUGUGGGCUUGAAGUUUUGGGUUAAAAUCGAAACAACCGUUUAGUACUAAUGCCGUGCGUCAUCUUGGCGCUGGAAACAGGCUGCCACGUUGGGAGAUGAGAUCAGUGGGACUCGUAAACGCCAGGCGAGUCAUUGCGUCCUUGGCUGGCGGCGAGGUGGAAGUAACAGGUUGGUGACGGCCGGGAAGAAAAUGUUGCCUUGGCACGGGCACAGCUAUGGAAGAAGCUUUGGCCGACCCGUCCAGGUGUGAAUACAUCAUGUGGACCGCCAGGAGGUGCGACUGCCGCUUCUUUUGGAAUGUAGCGAGUUGCUGCAAAGAGCCCAGCGCAUUUUUCCUACGACGUACUUUUUCCCCGAGAGACUUAACAAGGUGUACAGUUUGAGCAGUUUAAUCGUUCACCUUAAACAAUCCAUGACGUUCCAGAUUCAUUUGCUACUCAAAAGGAAGGAAUGUUCUUUUGAGGAUUUAGUGCAACUUUAAAAAAAUGUCAAAGCCCAACUUGUUGUGUAUCACUGAGUGCUCAUUACAGAAUUUGCCAAACGAAUCAUUCCCAUGACGACGAUGAUGAUGACGCCAUGGUUUGACAGUUGCCCUGCUGAGGACCGGCUCACGUUCACGCAGGUGUGAAGAGAGUGGCGUAACCAUGGAGGAGAAUUGCGGGGAGACCAACAUGACCUCGCGUGACGCCACUCGCGUUGCAACCUGCGUGACCAACCUCGCCGUUGGUGGGAAGGAACCAUGGCGGUAGCUCGCAGGUGGCCGUGUUGUUCUUGCGAUGAAGAAAAAAAAAAAAAGGAUGUGGUCGGACCACACAUGCAGGUUGGCCUUGGCGGAGGCAUGCAGCGUCUCGUGUGAAUAGUCCCCCCGAAGAGGUGACCCGCCGUGACCUCCCGGGUCGGACGAGAGCGGUGACUCGGACGGCCCGAGGUGGCGAUCCAGGUUGAGCGUGAGUGUUUGGCCUUGCAGCUCACACUUACACGAGGGAAAAGCCCAGACAGGGAGGGGUCCUUCUUAGGCACUCUGCUGUUAAAACAAACAAAAAAAAAAUCAUACUGUAUCUGGAACCAAUUAUAACAUAGCAUGGGAACGCCGGUUUCAGUUUGAUUCAAUGUUACCCGCGUAGAUGAAUGACUUCCACAUACGUCCAAGACAAUAAAUUUAAAACAUUUUUAAAACAAUAUCUUUAGUGGUGCCUUUCCACUUUGAAAUUAAUGGAAGAGGCUGCGUGGUCACUUGUCGACUGAGGUCAUCAAGCCCAAUCCUUUUUGCGCUCCCAAAGAGAAACGAAGUCAUGUGGUCACUUUCCAUUUCCAUUGUUGCGAGGGCAACUUAAUAAUGGGCUCCAGCGCAACGCUGGACCUUGGACGCGAUAAUCUAAACACUCGAACCUCGAAUGUACCCUCGUCCGGCAUCGGCGGGCUUCCAUAAUAAUACAUUCCGACUUGCGGUUGCAACUUCCUCCGUGCUCACUGUGGGUCAAAUCGCGCAAAACAGCUUGUCAGUAAUUAGCACGUCCACUCUGAGGUCGAAGCUAACGCCGCUCCGACUACUCAACGCUGGGCGAAGGCGACAUGAAAGCUGCGAUGACAGAAAAAAACAACGCCUUUGAUAUUUGAGGAAUGUUAAGGUGGAAGCGUUGGCACGGCCUCGAUCGAAAACACCUGUGAAAAAGCAGCCCGUUUGAACGUCAACAUUGACCUUGGCAGCCGCAAAGACAAAAGCAGCGCCGAGUGAUUUAAGGCCGUGUUUUCAUCCAAGGCCCUUACAGGAAGCUAAUUAGCUCAGCUAUGCAGUCGCUCGCGCGCCAGGCUAAGGCGAGGACGGGGGGCUCCAUGUUCUUGCUGGGAAGCGGCCGCCUUUAAAGCAGCAAUAUGCAUUUGCUUCAAACGGCCGCGUGCUCGGAUGUGGUCCACAUCGCCGCAAGCUGAGUCAAUUUACCGGAGCUGCCAAGGCUGCAAACUGGCAGCCCAGUUGAUCGCUUUGAAACCAGCCCAACUGUAAAUAUGCCCUAUGCGUUUGUAGUAGAGUCUGGCACCGACCCAAAAUGUGUGAAAGGUGCCACCGCCAAGGCCAGAUGAAAAUAGUUACAAAACGUUGACUCCUAGUUGAAUCGAUCAUAACAAAAGUUUUGGUGUGAGUGUUUGAUGUGAGCUGGGGCACACAGCAGCCCCUAGCGUGACUCUGUUCACAUUUGUGUUUUACUGCUUGCUUCAACUAUGGCUCUCCUUUACCACAUUCAAGAGCAUUCCAGUAAGUCCAAAAAAGAAUUAUGGACCACCUUAGACCACUGUAGUUUUUUUCCAUUAUUUCCUAUGGUGAAAAUAGCAUAGCAACCCUGAAAAGAAUGUGUUGGCCCUUGAGAGAUGACAGUGCAUCUGUGGGUGGCAACGUGUGCGGGAUCGACCUUUUGCUAUAUUUAGAAACCUUCUGGCGGGGGUCACAGACACCGGGUGACCUCGUUUUCCAUGUUUAAGUUUGAAAACAGCGGGACGCUUCCAAUGGUUUCUUGCGCGUGUGAGGUCCAGGAGAGGAAGUAUUACGCGCUCCACGCGGCGUCUCGGUUAAGAAACCCGAAAGAAAGGUCAGUGGAACAGGCAACGGGUCCGUCCGGGACCCACACGACGGGGACCACCUGACGGCAGCAGCUGAGGUGUUUGUUGAAAGAGGACCAGAUUGUCGUCCCGCUGUCUGCAGCGCCGAUGCUAAAACAGAAGUUUCCAGUGUGCCUUAGCAGCUAAUCCCCUUCAUGUUGUUGUCCACGUGUUGCCAUGCCUUCUGCGUCUAUUGCUAGUGUCCACCUGCGGGACGCCUUCAGGGGGGUGGC